UAGUGGCGAACGGGUGAGUAACACGUGGGCAAUCUGCCCUUCACUCUGGGACAAGCCCUGGAAACGGGGUCUAAUACCGGAUAACACUGCGGAUCGCAUGGUCUGCGGUUAAAAGCUCCGGCGGUGAAGGAUGAGCCCGCGGCCUAUCAGCUUGNUGGUGAGGUAGUGGCUCACCAAGGCGACGACGGGUAGCCGGCCUGAGAGGGCGACCGGCCACACUGGGACUGAGACACGGCCCAGACUCCUACGGGAGGCAGCAGUGGGGAAUAUUGCACAAUGGGCGAAAGCCUGAUGCAGCGACGCCGCGUGAGGGAUGACGGCCUUCGGGUUGNAAACCUCUUUCAGCAGGGAAGAAGCGAAAGUGACGGUACCUGCAGAAGAAGCGCCGGCUAACUACGUGCCAGCAGCCGCGGUAAUACGUAGGGCGCAAGCGUUGUCCGGAAUUAUUGGGCGUAAAGAGCUNGUAGGCGGGCUUGUCACGUCGAUUGNGAAAGCCCGAGGCUUAACCUCGGGUCUGCAGUCGAUACGGGCUAGCUANAGUGUGGUAGGGGNAGAUCGGAAUUCCU
rnacentral:rRNA from 1 species